CAAGCUGCGCAUAUCUUGGGAUCUUCACAGCACAGUGGCUGGGAAGGCAGGCGAACUUGUCUAUCAGCUUCUCCCUGAAGACUACCAAAGGGAACCAAAAGACCAGAGAACAGAAGCUGCUCUGGACAAAGAGGGGAGGACACCCCCCCCACCCACCCCCCACACACACCAAGUUCUGGUUGACUUCUACAGCAGUAGGAGCAGGAGACACCAGAAGUCUCCUCAGAAGGACAUUGAACAGCACGCCUGCAUCCUUUCUGUUCUGACACACUUGUUCCCUGAAUGACUUCUUUCUCAUCACCCACGACGUGCCAAGCGUGUCAUGUCUCAUAUCUGGACCAGGGACUUUGAGGAUCAUACCAACAGAGACUCAAACACCAUUUAAAGAAAGCCACAUCAGCUUUUAGAACUUGUCCCCCAAUGCAAAAUG
ensembl:processed_transcript